rnacentral:misc_RNA from 1 species
UCGAACCCUGCUAAGCAGAACGACCCGUGAACAUGUAAAUACAACAGGUGAUGGGGAGAUGGGCCUUGGUCUUGAUCCUCAAAACCACCUGACGUGCAAUCGUGGUGUCUCUUUUGAGGCAGCAUGGAUGUUUCGUUGGGACUCUAACAAACCCCGGCACGGAAUGUGCCAAGGAAAACAAAAAAUGAGAAGGACUCGUCCUGUUAUGCCCCGUUUGCGGUGUGCGUACUGGUCGUGGCCUCCUUGGAAUCAUAAACGACUCUCGGCAACGGAUAUCUCGGCUCACGCAUCGAUGAAGAACGUAGCAAAAUGCGAUACUUGGUGUGAAUUGCAGAAUCCCGUGAACCAUCGAGUUUUUGAACGCAAGUUGCGCCCGAAGCCAUCUGGUUGAGGGCACGCCUGCCUGGGCGUCACGCAUCGCGUCGCCCCCCACUAUCACUCUCCAAACGGGGAGUUUUGGUGCUUGGGGGCGGAGAUUGGUCUCCCGUGCUAGUUUUAGUGUGGUUGGCCUAAAUAUGAGUCCCCUUCGGUGGAUACACGGCUAGUGGUGGUUGAAUAGACCCUCGUGUUGUGUCGUGUAUUGUGAGCUGCUAGGGUAACCCUCAUCAAAGACCCCAUUGUAUCGUCUUGCGACGAUGCUUCGAU